GUUUCUGUGGUGCUAUCGGAUAGCAUGUUCGGCUGUUAACCGAAAGGUUGGUGGUUCAAGCCCACCCAGGAAUG